rnacentral:antisense_RNA from 1 species
ACAAUAGAAGUUGUAGAAUCUAUGCCGGAGUAUAAGCUACUCUUUCACAAUGAAUAAUGAAAAAUCUAAAGAUAUAAAAAAAUUAUGGUGAUCACGACUGGACUUGAACCAGCGACCACUACCA